UACGAAGGGGGCUAGCGUUGCUCGGAAUCACUGGGCGUAAAGGGUGCGUAGGCGGGUCUUUAAGUCAGGGGUGAAAUCCUGGAGCUCAACUCCAGAACUGCCUUUGAUACUGAAGAUCUUGAGUGCGGGAGAGGUGAGUGGAACUGCGAGUGUAGAGGUGAAAUUCGUAGAUAUUCGCAAGAACACCAGUGGCGAAGGCGGCUCACUGGCCCGAUACUGACGCUGAGGCACGAAAGCCAGGGGAGCAAACGGG
rnacentral:rRNA from 1 species